GUAGCUGGUCUGAGAGGAUGGCCAGCCACACUGGAACUGAGACACGGUCCAGACUCCUACGGGAGGCAGCAGUGGGGAAUAUUGGACAAUGGGGGCAACCCUGAUCCAGCAAUGCCGCGUGUGUGAAGAAGGCCUGAGGGUUGUAAAGCACUUUCAGUGGGGAGGAGGUUUGAUAGGUUAAGAGCUAAUUAAYUGGACGUUACCCACAGAAGAAGCACCGGCUAACUCCGUGCCAGCAGCCGCGGUAAUACGGAGGGUGCGAGCGUUAAUCGGAAUUACUGGGCGUAAAGGGUGCGUAGGUGGUUUAUUAAGUUAUCUGUGAAAUCCCWGGGCUUAACCUGGGAAGGUCAGAUAAUACUGUUGAACUSGAGUAUGG
rnacentral:rRNA from 1 species